rnacentral:rRNA from 1 species
UUGGAGGGCAAGUCUGGUGCCAGCAGCCGCGGUAAUUCCAGCUCCAAUAGCGUAUAUUAAAGUUGUUGCAGUUAAAAAGCUCGUAGUUGAAUUUCGGGAUCAAUAUAUUGGUCGUGCCUCCGGUAUGCACUGGUAUUAUUGAUUUCUACCUUCUGACGAACUAUGAUGUCAUUAAUUUGGUGUCAUGGGGAAUCAGGACUGUUACUUUGAAAAAAUUAGAGUGCUUAAAGCGGGCUAGUGCUUGAAUAGAUUAGCAUGGAAUAAUAAAAUAGGACGGCAUGGUUCUAUUUUGUUGGUUUCUAGGAUCACCGUAAUGAUUAAUAGGGAUAGUUGGGGGCAUUAGUAUUCAAUUGUCAGAGGUGAAAUUCUUGGAUUUAUUGAAGACUAACUACUGCGAAAGCAUUUGCCAAGGAUGUUUUCAUUAAUCAAGAACGAAAGUUAGGGGAUCGAAGACGAUCAGAUACCGUCGUAGUCUUAACCAUAAACUAUGCCGACUAGGGAUCGGAUGAUGUUAAUUUUUUAAUGACUCAUUCGGCGCCUUACGGGAAAC